UUUUUCACAUUUCAUUAGGUUAGUCUGUUAGUAGCUAUUUUUAGGCUAUAAUGUUAAAGUAGGCUCAGGCCUAUGUUUAGAGUGCCAUUCUCGAUGUAAUUAUCUUAUAAAAUUUUAUGAUGUUAUAUGGUGUUAGUGUGGUUAUAAGUUGAUAGAAAUAUAAGAAAAAAAAUAUUUAAAGGAACUCGGCAAAAUUAAACCUCGCCUGUUUAACAAAAACAUCACUAGAAGAUAAAGACUUUUAGCAAUACCUGCCCAGUGCGAAAUAUUACUGUAAACGGCCGCCCUAGCGUGAGGGUGCUAAGGUAGCGAAAUUCCUUGCCUUUUGAUUGUGGGCCUGCAUGAAUGGUUUAACGAGGGUUUGACUGUCUCUAAAUUUUUUAUUGAAAUUGUACUGAAGGUGAAGAUACCUUCAUUUAAAAGUUAGACAAAAAGACCCCGUGCAACUUUGAAAAUUAACUUUAUUCAGGAGUAAAAGAUUUUUAGGUGGGGCGCCUAGAAAGCAAGUCUAACCUUUCUGAAUAACUAACUCUUUCCGGAUUUGACCCGAUUAUAUUCGAUCAUAGGAGAAGUUACGCCGGGGAUAACAGGCUAAUCCUUUAGUAGAGUUCGUAUUGGCUAAAGGGAUUGGCACCUCGAUGUUGAAUCAGGGAUAAUAGCUUCAAGGCGUAGAGGCUUUGAAAGUAGGUCUGUUCGACCUUUAAUACCCUACGUGAUUUGAGUUCAGACCGGCGUAAGCCAGGUUGGUUUCUAUCUGCUUUACAUAAACUUAUCUCGGCAUGUACGAAAGGACCGUUGAGACUGGAAAGAGUAAAUCCAGAAAAAAAUUGCAGAAUGAUAAUUUAAUGCGUUAAUAAAUUUUAUAAACUUAAGCGCUGAAAUAGUGUAAAAGAAGUUGGUGAUGUGAGCACAUUUAGGGGCGCUUAGGCUCCAAGUUUAGAAUAUUAAUAUAAUUGUUGAAUUUAAAAAUGAAGAGGGUUAGUAAUAAAUUUUUAGUGAGUGCAAAAGGUUUUGCUGCUUAUUUUUUUAGGGGAAAACAAUCUGUGGUCUAUUACAGAACAUCUGUUGUUCGUACCCCAUAUCAUGUUGUGGAUCCUAGACCAUGACCA
rnacentral:rRNA from 1 species